UAAAAAUUAGUUAAUUUAUAAUUUAAAUAUGUCAUAUUUAAGUAAUUAGAUAAUUUUCUAAUAUUUUUAA
rnacentral:tRNA from 1 species